AUUGAACGCUGGCGGCAGGCCUAACACAUGCAAGUCGAGCGGAUGAAGGGAGCUUGCUCCUGGAUUCAGCUGCGGACGGGUGAGUAAUUCCUAGGAAUCUGCCUGGUAGUGGGGGAUAACGUCCGGAAACGGGCGCUAAUACCGCAUACGUCCUGAUGGAGAAAGUGGGGGAUCUUCGGACCUCACGCUAUCAGAUGAGCCUAGGUCGGAUUAGCUAGUUGGUGGGGUAAAGGCCUACCAAGGCGACGAUCCGUAACUGGUCUGAGAGGAUGAUCAGUCACACUGGAACUGAGACACGGUCCAGACUCCUACGGGAGGCAGCAGUGGGGAAUAUUGGACAAUGGGCGAAAGCCUGAUCCAGCCAUGCCGCGUGUGUGAAGAAGGUCUUCGGAUUGUAAAGCACUUUAAGUUGGGAGGAAGGGCAGUAAGUUAAUACCUUGCUGUUUUGACGUUACCAACAGAAUAAGCACCGGCUAACUUCGUG
rnacentral:rRNA from 1 species